UCAAGAAACUUCGGCAAUGCACGAAAGUGUGACCGAGCGACACCGCGUGAUCGAUGAAGUCCUUCGGGACGUAAAGAUCUUUUAUGAGGGAGGAAAUUUUUGACGUUACCUCAUGAAUAAGGGGCUCCCAAUCUCGUGCCAGCAGGAGCGGUAAUACGAGAGCCCCAAGUGUUAUCCGGAAUUAUUGGGCGUAAAGGGUGCGUAGGUGGUUUAGUUAGUCUUUCGUUAAAUCUUUGGGCUUAACCCAAAAACCGCGAAGGAAACGGCUAGACUAGAGGUUGUGCAGGGUGAAUGGAACUCAUGGAGUAGGGGUGAAAUCCGUUGAUAUCAUGGGGAACACCAAAAGCGAAGGCAGUUCACUGGCACAAAUCUGACACUGAGGCACGAAACCUAGGGUAGC
rnacentral:rRNA from 1 species